rnacentral:rRNA from 1 species
AACGAACGCUGGCGGCAUGCCUAACACAUGCAAGUCGAACGAGACCAUCGGGUCUAGUUGCGCACGCGUGCGUAACGCGUCGGAAGCUUCCCUUAUGCUCGGAAUUCCUCCCCGAAGGGGGUGCUAAUACCGGAUAACUUCUUCUAAUCAAAGAUUUAUCGUCUUGGGAUGAGCCGGCGUUGUUCUAGCAGGGUGCUAGGGGAAGAGCCUACCACGGCUUCGAUCCCUAGCUGGUCAGAGAGGAUGAGCAGCCACACUGGGACUAGGCCACGGCCGAGAAUCCUGCGGGAGGCAGCAGUGGGGAAUAUUGGACAAUGGCGGAAAGGAUGAUGCAGCAAUGCCGCGUGAGUGAUGAAGGCCUUAGGGUUGUAAAGCUCUUUUACCCGGGAUGAUAAUGACGGUACCGGAAGAAUAAGCACCGGCUAACUCCGUG